rnacentral:rRNA from 1 species
GAUGAACGCUAGCGGCAGGCCUAACACAUGCGAGUCGAGGGAGAAGCCCUUUCGGGGGCAGAAACCGGCGCACGGGUGCGUAACGCGUAUGCAACCUACCUUUCACAGGGGGAUAGCCCGAAGAAAUUUGGAUUAAUACCCCAUAAUAUUAUUGGAUGGCAUCAUUUGAUAAUUAAAACUGCGGUGGUGAAAGAUGGGCAUGCGUCCUAUUAGCUAGUUGGAGUGGUAACGGCACCCCAAGGCUACGAUAGGUAGGGGUCCUGAGAGGGAGAUCCCCCACACUGGUACUGAGACAGGGACCAGACUCCUACGGGAGGCAGCAGUGAGGAAUAUUGGUCAAUGGUCGGAAGACUGAACCAGCCAUGCCGCGUGCAGGAAGAAUGCCUUAUGGGUUGUAAACUGCUUUUAUAUGGGAAGAAUAAGGUGUACGUGUACAUUGAUGACGGUACCAUAUGAAUAAGCAUCGGCUAACUCCGUG